AAAUUGAAGAGUUUGAUCAUGGCUCAGAUUGAACGCUGGCGGCAGGCCUAACACAUGCAAGUCGAACGGUAACAGGAAGCAGCUUGCUGCUUUGCUGACGAGUGGCGAACGGGUGAGUAAUGUCUGGGAAACUGCCUGAUGGAGGGGGAUAACUACUGGAAACGGUGGCUAAUACCGCAUAACGUCGCAAGACCAAAGAGGGGGACCUUCGGGCCUCUUGCCAUCAGAUGUGCCCAGAUGGGAUUAGCUUGUUGGUGAGGUAACGGCUCACCAAGGCGACGAUCCCUAGCUGGUCUGAGAGGAUGACCAGCCACACUGGAACUGAGACACGGUCCAGACUCCUACGGGAGGCAGCAGUGGGGAAUAUUGCACAAUGGGCGCAAGCCUGAUGCAGCCAUGCCGCGUGUAUGAAGAAGGCCUUCGGGUUGUAAAGUACUUUCAGCGGGGAGGAAGGUGUUGUGGUUAAUAACCGCAGCAAUUGACGUUACCCGCAGAAGAAGCACCGGCUAACU
rnacentral:rRNA from 1 species